GACAGAGGGGGCAAGCGUUGCUCGGAAUUACUGGGCGUAAAGCGUGCGCAGGCGGUUCGCUAAGACCGAUGUGAAAUCCCCGGGCUUAACCUGGGAACUGCAUUGGUGACUGGCGGGCUAGAGUAUGGCAGAGGGGGGUAGAAUUCCACGUGUAGCAGUGAAAUGCGUAGAGAUGUGGAGGAAUACCGAUGGCGAAGGCAGCCCCCUGGGCCAAUACUGACGCUCAUGCACGAAAGCGUGGGGAGCAAACAGG
rnacentral:rRNA from 1 species